UUUCUCUUCUCCAGGUGAAGGUCCUGGGCCGUGACAUGCCCGGGGAGCCUCGGCAGGGCAGCUCCUGGCAGAGGGUGUCCUUGGUCACAGCAGCUUCUGUGACCAAAUACUCUGGAGCAGCCCAAGAGCUGGGUGGGAGAGUGAACCCUGAGUAAAGGACCUGGGAGAGAAGAAGCAUGGCAGGCAUUGGAACAGUUGGUAAGAGUUGUGUUUCUUCUGUUUAGACAGUGACAGAAGGGGAAAUAAGUGAUUUUAAAAACCCCAAGUACAUCAGAGGUUUGAAUAGUAUAAGGGAUAUGUGUCCCAAAAAAGCUCCUUCAUGCAUUCUUGAAAUCUGGAGGGAAAAGUCCUAGUGAAGUUUCCUUUUUUUCUUUUUCUUUCUGUUUGAACCAGUGGGCAGAAAUGGAGAGCUGGUGGCAGAGUGUCCUAAGAGAAGUAUUUGGGUUGAUAAGCUGGUGUGCUGGAUCCCAUUCCUCUUGCCUGUGGUCAUCUGAAAGUCUUUGAGAAGACAGGCCCA
rnacentral:lncRNA from 1 species